GCUGGCGGGUGCGGGGAAAGCGGAGGAAAGGGGCCGAGGGCGGGCCGCGGCGGGCGCCGAGCCUCCGCUGGAGGGCGGAGGAAACCGCAACGUCACCGGGGCCCCGGGGGCGAGAAGGGGGAGGGGGAGUCUGGACCCCCUCCCCUCGCCGAACCCUGACCUCGGGCCCGCCCCGCUUUCUCGCGGCGCCUCUCCCCGGGCUCCCCGCUGCGCUGGGCCUUCCCCGCUGCUCGGGCCCGGCCCCACGCACCCCGCCCCUGCCGGGCCUCUUCUGCUCCGACCAGCUCGAGUUUCGAAUGACCCAUAGGCUUCGGGUUAAACUCUGGAAUCGCCCCCAAUCGAAGGAUACUUUAGGAGGCCCAGUGGGAGGAGCUGCUGUCUCCUUACCGCCCCGGGAGAGGAGAGCGAGGAGAACUUGCAGAAUCUUACUGCGGGGCAGGACGUGGUGUGUUGUGGUACCCACUCGCCUCCCCCUGCUCCAAAAUAGAAAUUGCACUUAACACAUUUGCCAAAAGGUGGAAGAAAUGCGAGGUCAUCAAUAGGUGAAUGGAUAAACAAAAUGUGGUGUAUACAUACAAGGGAAUAUUAUUCCGUCAUAAAAAG
rnacentral:lncRNA from 1 species